GACGAACGCUGGCGGCGUGCCUAAUACAUGCAAGUCGAACGCAGUUGCGAACGGGUGAGUAACGCGUAGGUAACUGCCUCAUCCCGGGGGAUAACUAUUGGAAACGAUAGCUAAUACCUCAUACUGUGGGAUUGACCUGCGUUGUAUUAGGUAGUUGGUGAGGUAAAGGCUCACCAAGGCGACGAUACAUGGCCGGACUGGGAGGGGGGUCGGCCACACCUGGGAUGGGGAACGGGCCAAGACUCUACGGGAGGGCGCAGGUGGGAAUCGUUGGGAAUUGGACGAAGGUUGAACGAGCAACGCCGGCGGAGUGAAGAAGGGUUUCCGAUUGUAAAGAUUCGUUUUUAGAGAAGCGGUAACUAACCAGAAAGCGACGGCUAACUACGUGCCAGCAGCCGCGGUAAUAC
rnacentral:rRNA from 1 species